GUACGGGUGAGUAACACGUGGAUCAUCUACCUCUUAGUGGGGAAUAACCCUGGGAAACCGGGGCUAAUACCGCAUAAGCCUUGAAAAGGGAAAGGCAGUAAUGCGCUGAGAGAGGAGUCCGCGGCCGAUUAGCUAGUUGGUAGGGUAAUGGCAUACCAAGGCAAUGAUCGGUAUGCCGGCCUGAGAGGGCACACGGGCACACUGGCACUUGAAACACCGGGGCCAGACUCCUACGGGAGGCAGCAGUGGGGAAUCUUGCACAAUGGAGGAAACUCUGAUGCAGCGACGCCGCGUGAGCGAUGAAGCCCUUCGGGGUGUAAAGCUCUUUCGACGGGAACGAUAAUGACGGUACCCGGAGAAGAAGCUGCGGCUAACUACGUGCCAGCAGCCGCGGUAAUACGUAGGCAGCAAGCGUUGUUCGGAAUUACUGGGCGUAAAGAGUGUCGUAGGCGGUUUCCCUAUGUUCGGUGUGAAAUCUCCCGGCUUAACUGGGAGGGUGCGCCGAAAACUGGAAGGCUUGAGUAUGGGAGAGGAAAGCGGAAUUCCUGGUGUAGCGGUGAAAUGCGUAGAUAUCAGGAGGAACACCUGCGGUG
rnacentral:rRNA from 1 species